rnacentral:rRNA from 1 species
GUGGGGAAUAUUGGACAAUGGAGGCAACUCUGAUCCAGCCAUGCCGCGUGUGUGAAGAAGGCCUUUUGGUUGUAAAGCACUUUAAGCGAGGAGGAGGCUUACCUGGUUAAUACCUGGGAUAAGUGGACGUUACUCGCAGAAUAAGCACCGGCUAACUCUGUGCCAGCAGCCGCGGUAAUACAGAGGGUGCAAGCGUUAAUCGGAUUUACUGGGCGUAAAGCGCGCGUAGGUGGCCAAUUAAGUCAAAUGUGAAAUCCCCGAGCUUAACUUGGGAAUUGCAUUCGAUACUGGUUGGCUAGAGUAUGGGAGAGGAUGGUAGAAUUCCAGGUGUAGCGGUGAAAUGCGUAGAGAUCUGGAGGAAUACCGAUGGCGAAGGCAGCCAUCUGGCCUAAUACUGACACUGAGGUGCGAAAGCAUGGGGAGCAAACAGGAUUAGAAACCCCAGUAGUCC